AUUGAACGCUGGCGGCAUGCCUUACACAUGCAAGUCGAACGGCAGCACGGGUGCUUGCACCUGGUGGCGAGUGGCGAACGGGUGAGUAAUACAUCGGAACGUACCUUAUCGUGGGGGAUAACGCAGCGAAAGCUGUGCUAAUACCGCAUACGCCCUGAGGGGGAAAGCGGGGGAUCGCAAGACCUCGCGCGAUUAGAGCGGCCGAUGCCUGAUUAGCUUGUUGGUGGGGUAAAAGCCCACCAAGGCGACGAUCAGUAGCUGGUCUGAGAGGACGAUGAGCCAGACGGGGACUGAGACACGGCCCAGACUCCUACGGGAGGCAGGAGUGGGGAAUUUUGGACAAUGGGGGCAACCCUGAUCCAGCAAUGCCGCGUGAGUGAAGAAGGCCUUCGGGUUGUAAAGCUCUUUUGUCAGGGAAGAAACACCGGCUCUAACACAGUCCGGGAAUGACGGUACCUGAAGAAUAAGCACCGGCUAACUACGUGCCAGCAGCCGCCGUAA
rnacentral:rRNA from 1 species